CGACCUCAGGUCAGGCAAGACAACCCGCUGAGUUUAAGCAUAUCACUAAGCGGAGGAAAAGAAACUAACAAGGAUUUCCCUAGUAGCGGCGAGCGAAACGGAAAGAGCCCAGCUUGGAAAUCGGGGUGUCUCUGCACCCCGAAUUGUAGUCUGGAGAAGGGUCCUCUGCAGCGGACCGGGUUUAAGUCCCUUGGAACGGGACGCCAGAGAGGGUGAGAGCCCCGUCUAGCCCGGACCCUGCUGCAUCACGAGGCUCUUUCGGCGAGUCGGGCUGUUUGGGAAUGCAGCCUUAAGUGGGUGGUAAAUUCCAUCCAAGGCUAAAUACUGGUGAGAGACCGAUAGCGCACAAGUACCGCGAGGGAAAGAUGAAAAGGACUUUGAAAAGAGAGUUAAAAAGUGCUUGAAAUUGCUGGGAGGGAAGCGAAUGGAUGCCUUGUGCGCCCCUUGGUUGUGUGUGGAACGGCGAGAGCUGGUCUGCCAAGCAAUGCAAGGGGCUGUCCAGCAUGGGAGGACGCGGCGGGAUAACGGCUUGUGAGCCUCUGGCUCCCUGCCAAUGCCGCCGCUGCCUCUGAAAAUGGCGGGGUGCUCCGGUGCCCCGCCAGAUGCUGGAACUUGGGCGUUCCAUCCGACCCGUCUUGAAACACGGACCAAGGAGUCUAACAUGUAUGCGAGUCUGUGGGUGUUAAACCCGUACAGGCGAAAGGAAACUAAUUCGUGGGAUCCCCUUCGGGGGUGCACCACGGACCGACCUUGAUCUUUUGAGAAGGGUUUGAGUGUUAGCAUACCUGCUGGGACCCGAAAGAUGGUGAACUAUGCCUGAGCAGGGCGAAGCCAGAGGAAACUCUGGUGGAGGCUCGUAGCGAUACUGACGUGCAAAUCGUUCGUCAGACUUGGGUAUAGGGGCGAAAGACUAAUCGAACCAUCUAGUAGCUGGUACCCUCCGAAGUUUCCCUCAGGAUAGCUGGAGCUCUUGCUGAGUUUUAUCGGGUAAAGCGAAUGAUUAGAGGCAUCGGGGGGAAACACCCUCGACCUAUUCUCAAACUUUAAAUAGGUAAAGCAGUCCGGGGUUGCUCUGUUGAGCCCCGGCCGUGAUGCGACUUCCAAGUGGGCCAUUUC
rnacentral:ncRNA from 1 species